GGUAACGAAGAAUUAGGGUUCGAUUUCGGAGAGGGAGCAUGAGAAACGGCUACCACAUCUAAGGAAGGCAGCAGGCGCGUAAAUUACCCAAUCCUGACUCAGGGAGGUAGUGACAAGAAAUAGCAAACCGGGGAUCUCACGAUCUUACGGUAUUGCAAUGAGAACAAUUUAAAACACUUAGCGAGGAACAAAUUGAGGACAAGUCUGGUGCCAGCACCCGCGGUAAUUCCAGCUCAAUUAGCGUAUAUUAAAGUUGUUGCAGUUAAAAAGCUCGUAGUUGAACCUCUGUUUGGGACUAAUUUUGGCUUCUGUCAGGUUAGUUUCAAGCAUCCGCUUGCAAAACCUAGCCGUCAUUCACUUGUCGCUAGGAGGAGCAGGCAUUUUACUUUGAAAAAAUUAGAGUGUUUAAGGCAGGCAAUUGCCCGCAUAUAUUAGCAUGGAAUAAUAGAAUAGGACACUUUUCCAUUUCGUUGGUUAUUGGAAUCGUGUAAUGACUAAUAGGGACAGUUGUGGGCAUUUGUAUUUAAUUGUCAGAGGUGAAAUUCUUGGAUUUAUUAAAGACAAACUAACGCGAAAGCAUUUGCCAAGGAUGUUUUCAUUAAUCAAGAACGAAAGUUAGGGGAUCAAAGACGAUCAGAUACCGUCAUAGUCUUAACUAUAAACUAUUCCGACUCAAUGUUCGACUGGCUUAUAUAACCAGUUGAGCGUUGUAUGAGAAAUCAAAGUCUUUAGGUUCUGGGGGGAGUAUGGUUGCAAAGCUGAAACUUAAAGGAAUUGACGGAAGAGCACAACCAGGAGUGGAUUCUGCGGCUUAAUUUGACUCAACACGGGGAAACUUACCAGGUUAAAACAGUAGUGGGAUUGACAGUUUGAGAGCGCUUUCUUGAUUCGUUGGGUGGUGGUGCAUGGCCGUUCUUAGUUGGUGGAGUGGUUUGUCUGCUUAAUUGCGUUAACGAACGAGACCUUAACCUGCUUACUAGACUGCCGAUGUAUAAUCGACAGCUCUUCUUAGAGGGACUUUGGUUGUUUUAACUCCAAGGAAGUUUGAGGCAAUAACAGGUCUGUGAUGCCCUUAGAUAUCCUGGGCCGCACGCGUCAUACAAUGACCAGUUCAGAAAGUUUCAUCCUGAUCCGGAAGGAUACGGGUAAUCUUGACAGUACUGGUCGUGUUAGGGAUCGAUCUUUGCAAUUAUAGAUUUUGAACGAGGAAUUCCUAGUAAGUGCAGUUCAUCAGACUGUACUGAUUACGUCCCUGCUCUUUGUACACACCGCCCGUCGCUUCUACCGAGUGAGUGGUCCGGUGAGAUACUUGAACUUGGCCU
rnacentral:rRNA from 1 species